rnacentral:rRNA from 1 species
UACGUAGGGUGCGAGCGUUAAUCGGAAUUACUGGGCGUAAAGCGUGCGCAGGCGGUCUGUUAAGACCGAUGUGAAAUCCCCGGGCUUAACCUGGGAACUGCAUUGGUGACUGGCAGGCUUUGAGUGUGGCAGAGGGAGGUAGAAUUCCACGUGUAGCAGUGAAAUGCGUAGAGAUGUGGAGGAAUACCGAUGGCGAAGGCAGCCUCCUGGGCCAACACUGACGCUCAUGCACGAAAGCGUGGGAGCAAACAGA